UGGGGAAUUUUGGACAAUGGGCGAAAGCCUGAUCCAGCAAUGCCGCGUGUGUGAAGAAGGCCUUCGGGUUGUAAAGCACUUUUGUCCGGAAAGAAAUCCUUGGCUCUAAUACAGUCGGGGGAUGACGGUACCGGAAGAAUAAGCACCGGCUAACUACGUGCCAGCAGCCGCGGUAAUACGUAGGGUGCAAGCGUUAAUCGGAAUUACUGGGCGUAAAGCGUGCGCAGGCGGUUUGCUAAGACCGAUGUGAAAUCCCCGGGCUCAACCUGGGAACUGCAUUGGUGACUGACAGGCUAGAGUAUGGCAGAGGGGGGUAGAAUUCCACGUGUAGCAGUGAAAUGCGUAGAGAUGUGGAGGAAUACCGAUGGCGAAGGCAGCCCCCUGGGCCAAUACUGACGCUCAUGCACGAAAGCGUGGGGAGCAAACAGGAUUAGAUACCCUGGUAGUCCACGCCCUAAACGAUGUCAACUAGUUGUUGGGGAUUCAUUUCCUUAGUAACGUAGCUAACGCGUGAAGUUGACCGCCUGGGGAGUACGGUCGCAAGAUUAAAACUUAAAUGAAUUGACGGGGUCAUAGCUGUUUCCU
rnacentral:rRNA from 1 species